AGAGUGAACGCUGGCGGUAGGCCUAACACAUGCAAGUCGAACGGCAGCACAGUAAGAGCUUGCUCUUAUGGGUGGCGAGUGGCGGACGGGUGAGGAAUACAUCGGAAUCUACCUUUUCGUGGGGGAUAACGUAGGGAAACUUACGCUAAUACCGCAUACGACCUUCGGGUGAAAGCAGGGGACCUUCGGGCCUUGCGCGGAUAGAUGAGCCGAUGUCGGAUUAGCUAGUUGGCGGGGUAAAGGCCCACCAAGGCGACGAUCCGUAGCUGGUCUGAGAGGAUGAUCAGCCACACUGGAACUGAGACACGGUCCAGACUCCUACGGGAGGCAGCAGUGGGGAAUAUUGGACAAUGGGCGCAAGCCUGAUCCAGCCAUACCGCGUGGGUGAAGAAGGCCUUCGGGUUGUAAAGCCCUUUUGUUGGGAAAGAAAAGCAGUCGGCUAAUACCCGGUUGUUCUGACGGUACCCAAAGAAUAAGCACCGGCUAACUUCGUGCCAGCAGCCGCGGUAAUACGAAGGGUGCAAGCGUUACUCGGAAUUACUGGGCGUAAAGCGUGCGUAGGUGGUUGUUUAAGUCUGUUGUGAAAGCCCUGGGCUCAACCUGGGAAUUGCAGUGGAUACUGGGCGACUAGAGUGUGGUAGAGGGUAGUGGAAUUCCCGGUGUAGCAGUGAAAUGCGUAGAGAUCGGGAGGAACAUCCAUGGCGAAGGCAGCUACCUGGACCAACACUGACACUGAGGCACGAAAGCGUGGGGAGCAAACAGGAUUAGAUACCCUGGUAGUCCACGCCCUAAACGAUGCGAACUGGAUGUUGGGUGCAAUUUGGCACGCAGUAUCGAAGCUAACGCGUUAAGUUCGCCGCCUGGGGAGUACGGUCGCAAGACUGAAACUCAAAGGAAUUGACGGGGGCCCGCACAAGCGGUGGAGUAUGUGGUUUAAUUCGAUGCAACGCGAAGAACCUUACCUGGUCUUGACAUGUCGAGAACUUUCCAGAGAUGGAUUGGUGCCUUCGGGAACUCGAACACAGGUGCUGCAUGCUGUCGUCAGCUCGGUCUUGGAAUGUUGGCUCAGUCGAUCGAGCAACCAUGUCCUUAGUUGCCAGCACGGUUAA
rnacentral:rRNA from 1 species